CCUACGGGUGGCAGCAGUGAGGAAUAUUGGUCAAUGGCCGCGAGCCUGAACCAGCCAAGUCGCGUGAAGGAAGACGGCCCUACGGGUUGUAAACCUCUUUUAUCAGGGAAUAAGGUGCAGGUCGGGACCUGUUUUGUGAGUACCUUAUGAAAAAGCAUCGGCUAACUCCGUGCCAGCAGCCGCGGUAAUACGGAGGAUGCGAGCGUUAUCCGGAUUUAUUGGGUUUAAAGGGUGCGCAGGGGGAGGCACAAGUCAGCGGUAAAAUCUCGGGGCUCAACCCCGCUUGGCCGUUGAAACUGGGUGUCUUGAGUGCAGGAAGGGUAGGCGGAAUGCGUGGUGUAGCGGUGAAAUGCAUAGAUAUCACGAAGAACUCCGAUUGCGAAGGCAGCUUACUAAACUGCCACUGACAUUGAUGCUCGAAAGUGUGGGUAUCAAACAGGAUUAGAUACCCGUGUAGUC
rnacentral:rRNA from 1 species